GACGAACGCUGGCGGCGUGCUUAACACAUGCAAGUCGAGCGGCGCGGCGGACGGGUGAGUAACGCGUGAGUAACUGCCCACUUCCCUGGGAUAACAGUUGGAAACGGGAGCUAAUACCGGAUAGUGGGGGAUGACUCGCGUCCUAUCAGCUUGUUGGGGAGGUAGUGGCAUACCUAGGCGACGACGGGUAGCCGGCCUGGGAGGGCGACCGGCCACAGUGUGCUGGGAUACGGCCCAAACGCCUACGUGAGGCAGCAGUGGGGGAUAUUGCACGAUGGGGGGAACGUAGAUGCAGCAACGCCGCGUUCUGAAGUCGGCCUUCGGGUGGUGAACCGCUUGCAGCCAUGACGCGGUAGUGGCAGAAGAAGCACCGGCUAACUACGUGCCAGCAGCCGCGGUAAUUC
rnacentral:rRNA from 1 species